rnacentral:miRNA from 1 species
GCAGACACAUUCCAGCCAAUUGGCAGCAGACACACCCUCCCAGACCCUCCCACCUCCUGGACAGCAUCCAUUUUACAUUCAUUGUGAAGCUGCAUUCUUAGUGAGCUGUCCAGGAGGUGGGAGGGUCUGGGAGGGAGGGUCUGCUGCCGAUUGGCUGGAAUGUGUCUG